rnacentral:rRNA from 1 species
UGGGGAAUAUUGGACAAUGGGCGCAAGCCUGAUCCAGCAAUACCGCGUGAGUGAUGAAGGUCUUCGGAUUGUAAAGCUCUUUUAGUAGGGAAGAUAAUGACGGUACCUACAGAAAAAGCACCGGCAAACUUCGUGCCAGCAGCCGCGGUAAUACGAAGGGUGCUAGCGUUGUUCGGAAUCAUUGGGCGUAAAGCGUACGUAGGCGGCUUUGUAAGUCGAUUGUGAAAGCCCUGAGCUUAACUCAGCGAAUUGCAAUCGAUACUGCUUUGCUAGAAUUUGGUAGGGGAUGGCGGAAUUCCUAGUGUAGGGGUGAAAUCCGUAGAGAUUAGGAGGAACAUCAGUGGCGAAGGCGGCCAUCUAUGCCAAUAUUGACGCUAAGGUACUAAAGCGUGGGGAGCAA